rnacentral:sRNA from 1 species
UUGCGCCCAGCCCUUCCUCACCCCGCAGGAGAAGCUGGCCUCUCAUUCCUCACUGAGAGGCUCGACGGGCGUCCCCACGCCAAGCCUUCCUCGCCCUCCCCUCCAGCCUUUUCUGAAGGGGAGACAGCAAAGACCACUGGAGCGAUCCAGUGAAGAUGUGGAUAUAAUCUUCACUCGACUGAAAGAAGUUAAAGCUUUUGAGAAAUUUCACCCAAAUCUCCUUCAUCAGAUUUGCUUAUGUGGUUAUUAUGAGAAUCUGGAAAAGGGAAUAACAUUAUUUCGCCAGGGUGAUAUUGGAACAAACUGGUAUGCUGUCCUGGCAGGGUCUUUGGAUGUUAAAGUAUCUGAGACCAGCAGUCACCAGGAUGCUGUGACCAUCUGUACCCUGGGAAUUGGGACGGCCUUUGGAGAGUCCAUUCUGGACAACACACCCCGCCAUGCAACCAUCGUUACCAGGGAGAGCAGUGAACUGCUCCGCAUCGAGCAGAAGGACUUCAAGGCACUAUGGGAGAAAUAUCGACAGUAUAUGGCAGGACUUCUGGCUCCU